rnacentral:rRNA from 1 species
CCUACGGGUGGCAGCAGUGAGGAAUAUUGGUCAAUGGCCGGAAGGCUGAACCAGCCAUGCCGCGUGAAGGUCAGUGCCCUAUGGGCGUUAAACUUCUUUUUUUCGGGAGCAAUAAUGGUCACGGGUGGCCAGACGAGAGUACCGUACGAAUAAGCAUCGGCUAACUCCGUGCCAGCAGCCGCGGUAAUACGGGGGAUGCAAGCGUUAUCCGGAUUUAUUGGGGGUAAAGGGAGCGUAGACGGCAGUGCAAGUCUGGAGUGAAAGGCGGGGGGUCAACCCCCGGACUGCCCUUGAAACUGUACGGCUAGAGAGUAGGAGAGGUAGGUGGAAUGCAUGGUGUAGCGGUGAAAUGCGUAGAUAUUAGGAGGAACACCAGUGGCGAAGGCAGCUUACUGGACUGUAACUGACGUUGAGGCUCGAAAGCGUGGGGAGCAAACAGGAUUAGAUACCCCUGUAGUC